rnacentral:Y_RNA from 1 species
GGCUGGUCCGAAGGUAGUGAGUUAUCUCAAUUGAUUGUUCACAGUCAGUUACAGAUCGAACUCCUUGUUCUACUCUUUCCCCCCUUCUCACUACUGCACUUGACUAGUCUUUU